UAACGGGAGGCAGCAGUAGGGAAUCUUCCACAAUGGACGCAAGUCUGAUGGAGCAACGCCGCGUGAGUGAAGAAGGUUUUCGGAUCGUAAAGCUCUGUUGUUGGUGAAGAAGGAUAGGGAUAGUAACUGAUUCUUAUUUGACGGUAAUCAACCAGAAAGUCACGGCUAACUACGUGCCAGCAGCCGCGGUAAUACGUAGGUGGCAAGCGUUGUCCGGAUUUAUUGGGCGUAAAGCGAACGCAGGCGGGAGAACAAGUCAGCUGUGAAAGCCCUCGGCUUAACCGGGGAAGUGCAGCUGAAACUGUUUUUCUUGAGUGCAGAAGAGGAGAGUGGAACUCCAUGUGUAGCGGUGGAAUGCGUANAUAUAUGGAAGAACACCANUGGCGAAGGCGGCUCUCUGGUCUGUAACUGACGCUGAGGUUCNAAAGCAUGGGUAGCGAACAGGAUUANAUACCCUGGUAGUCCAUGCCGUAAACNAUGAGUGCUAANUGUUGGGAGGUUUCCNCCUCUCANUGCUGCANCUAACNCAUUAANCACUCCNCCUGGGGAGUACNACCGCAAGGUAAAAACUCAAAGGAAUUGACGGGGGCCNNCACAANCNGUG
rnacentral:rRNA from 1 species